UACGGAGGGGGCUAGCGUUGUUCGGAAUUACUGGGCGUAAAGCGCGCGUAGGCGGGCUGUUAAGUCGGGGGUGAAAUCCCGGGGCUCAACCCCGGAACUGCCUUCGAUACUGGCAACCUAGAGGAAGGCAGAGGCUAGUGGAAUGGCGAGUGUAGAGGUGAAAUUCGUAGAUAUUCGCCGGAACAGGAGUGGCGAAGGCGACUUGCUGGGCCUUUUCUGUCGCUGAGGUGCUAAAGCGUGGGGAGCAAACAGG
rnacentral:rRNA from 1 species